GGGUGUUUUAACCUACAAAGGAGUUGCUGAAAGGGGCAACUGGGUAGACCAAGGAUGAGGUGACAUAUGGGUUAUGAAAUAGGAGCUGUCAUGGUAAUUAUGUUGAAAUUCAAGGGAAAUUUAGGUAGUAGUGUGAUGGGAACCAUAUAAGCAAAGCGAUAAAUGGCUAUGUGAGUGGGAGAGUGAUGAAAAAGAGUAGAGAGACUAUUUGGGACAAGUCAAUGAAGUGGAUAACGGGCUAUUUGUACCUGUGAGCUU
rnacentral:lncRNA from 1 species